CAGCAGCCGCGGUAAUACGUAGGUGGCAAGCGUUGUCCGGAAUUAUUGGGCGUAAAGCGCGCGCAGGUGGUUUAAUAAGUCUGAUGUGAAAGCCCACGGCUCAACCGUGGAGGGUCAUUGGAAACUGUUAAACUUGAGUGCAGGAGAGAAAAGUGGAAUUCCUAGUGUAGCGGUGAGAUGCGUAGAGAUUAGGAGGAACACCAGUGGCGAAGGCGGCUUUUUGGCCUGUAACUGACACUGAGGCGCGAAAGCGUGGGGAGCAAACAGGAUUAGAUACCCCCGUAGUCCCUGUCUCUUAUAC
rnacentral:rRNA from 1 species